UACAGAGGUCCCAAGCGUUGUUCGGAAUUACUGGGCGUAAAGGGCGCGUAGGCGGCCCGCUAAGUCGAACGUGAAAUCCCCGAGCUCAACUCGGGAACUGCGUCCGAUACUGGUGGGCUUGAAUCCGGGAGAGGGAUGCGGAAUUCCAGGUGUAGCGGUGAAAUGCGUAGAUAUCUGGAGGAACACCGGUGGCGAAGGCGGCAUCCUGGACCGGCAUUGACGCUGAGGCGCGAAAGCUAGGGGAGCAAACGGG
rnacentral:rRNA from 1 species